rnacentral:rRNA from 1 species
CCAAUAGCGUAUAUUAAAGUUGCUGCAGUUAAAAAGCUCGUAGUUGAAUUUCGGGAUUAAUAUGUUGGUCGUGCCUUGGUACGUACUAGCUUAUUGGUUUCUCCCUUCUGACGAACCAUGAUGUCAUUAAUUUGGUGUCAUGUGGAAUCAGGACUGUUACUUUGAAAAAAUUAGAGUGUUUAAAGCAGGCUCACGCUUGAAUACAUUAGCAUGGAAUAAUGAAAUAGGACGUUUGAUUCUAUUUUGUUGGUUUCUAGGAUCGACGUAAUGAUUAAUAGGGAUAGUUGGGGGCAUUAGUAUUCAAUUGUCAGAGGUGAAAUUCUUGGAUUUAUUGAAGACUAACUACUGCGAAAGCAUUUGCCAAGGAUGUUUUCAUUAAUCAAGAACGAAAGUUAGGGGAUCGAAGACGAUCAGAUACCGUCGUAGUCUUAACCAUAAACUAUGCCGACUAGGGAUCGGAUGAUGUUAAUUUUUUAAUGACUCAUUCGGCGCCUUACG